CACUGUAAUUCAAGUCAAUGUUUUUUGUUGCAAUAGUGCCCCUGUGUGGUUGAAAAGAUUAUUGUUUGCAUGGAUUGUGUUUAGCUGAUUGGUUGAGGGUGAGAGAGCGGAAGCAGGAAGCAGGAACGCAGCAGCCUCGAUUCAGCGGAGAAGUUGUUUGCAAAAGAGAGCAGAAAAUAAGGAAAUGCAAAAGGAAACAUGGACGAUCAGCAAACCUAACAGCUCCCACACAUUUGAACAGAAGGCGCACACGUUUUUCACGUUGCUUCUUGCCCAGCUAAAAAGAAAUAAAACGCUGGCAAAUUCAUCAGUUGAAGCGUGGCCUAUUUCUGUGCAAAUAAAUAACCUGGGAGCGGUUAUAGUGAAAAACGUGUCCCCUGCCGUUAUCAACGAGGAAACAUCGCUGCACCGGCGUGAGAGGGGCCAGCCAGCGAAAGAGCGACGAGUGAGCAGCGUGGCUUCAGCUUGACCAUGCUCCAAGGGAAAGAGGUCUACGUGGAGUCCAUCACCAGCCUCCAUGGUUCUGCAGCAGCUGGACGUCCAGACUUCAACAGCUUGACCAUGCUUCAAGGGAACGAGACCUUCGUAGAGUUCAUCACCAGCCUCCAUGGUUCUGCAGCGGCUGGAUAUCCAAACCUCAAACAGUUUUUCCAGUGGAAUUGAAGACUAAAGCUUCACUUCAGCACAAUGCAAGUCUACAGUAAGCCCAAGCUUCACAAGGAUACCAGGUCAGACUGUGUCUAUAGACUCUAAAAAAAAAAAAAAAAAAAACUCAAAUACAAAGAAGAAGAGA